GCGGGAGUGCCGGAGUGGUCAAACGGGACGGAUUUAGGCUCCGUUGGCGCAUGCCUACGCAGGUUCGAACCCUGUCUCCCGCA
rnacentral:tRNA from 1 species